AGCGAACGCUGGCGGCAGGCCUAACACAUGCAAGUCGAACGAACCUUUCGGGGUUAGUGGCGUCUGGGUUUGUCACACGUCGGAACGUUCCUAUAUGGUCGGAAUAACUCAGGGACACUUGUGCUAAUACCGAAUGUGCCCUUAUGCGGGAUGAUUUAUCGUCCUUAGUGCGGCAGGCGUCUGAUUAGCUAGUUGGUUGAGUUAAUGGCUCACCAACGCGACGAUCAGUAGCUGGUCUGUGAGGGUCAUCAGCGACAUCGGAAGUGGGCCGCGGCACAGAAUCCUACGGGAGGCAGCAGUGGGUAAUCUUGCGAAAUGGGCGAAAGCCUGACGCACCCAUGCCGCGUGAAUGAUGUAGGUCUUAGGAUUGUAAUAUUCUUUCACCGGGGACGAUAAUGACGGUACCCGGAGAAGAAGCCCCGGCUAACUUCGUG
rnacentral:rRNA from 1 species